rnacentral:rRNA from 1 species
UACGUAGGGGGCAAGCGUUGUCCGGAAUCAUUGGGCGUAAAGCGCGCGUAGGCGGCCCGGUAAGUCCGCUGUAAAAGUCCAGGGCUCAACCCUGGAAAGCCGGUGGAUACUGUCGGGCUAGAGUCCGGAAGAGGCGAGUGGAAUUCCUGGGUGUAGCGGUGGAAUGCGCAGAUAUCAGGAGGAACACCGAUAGCGAAGGCAGCUCGCUGGGACGGUACUGACGCUGAGGCGCGAAAGCGUGGGGAGCGAACAGG